UACGAAGGGGGCUAGCGUUGCUCGGAAUUACUGGGCGUAAAGGGGAGCGUAGGCGGGUUAUCAAGUUGGAGGUGAAAGCCCAGGCUCAAGCCUUGGAAUUGCCUUCAAAACUGAAUAGCCUAGAGUAUGGAAGAGGUAAGUGGAACUCCGAGUGUAGAGGUGAAAUUCGUAGAUAUUCGGAAGAACACCAGUGGCGAAGGCGACUUACUGGUCCAUGACUGACGCUGAGGCUCGAAAGCGUGGGGAGCAAACAGG
rnacentral:rRNA from 1 species